rnacentral:rRNA from 1 species
CUGACUCGACUGACGUUGGCGGCAGGCCUCAUACAUGCAAGUCGAACGAGAAAAGCCCUUCGGGGCUUAGUAGAGUGGCGGACGGGUGAGUAACGCGUAGGAAUCUACCCGGCAGUGGGGGAUAGCUCGGGGAAACUCGAGCUAAUACCGCAUGCGAUCGCGGCCUUAGGGCGGCGAUGAAAGCGGGGGAUCUCGCCGUGGCGACUUCGGUCGCAGCGGAAGGACCUCGCGCUGGCGGAGGAGCCUGCGUUGGAUUAGCUUGUUGGUGGGGUAACGGCCCACCAAGGCGACGAUCCAUAGCUGGUCUGAGAGGACGACCAGCCACACUGGGACUGAGACACGGCCCAGACGACUACGGUCGGCAGCAGUAGGGAAUCUUGCACAAUGGGCGAAAGCCUGAUGCAGCCAUGCCGCGUGUGUGAAGAAGGCCUUAGGGUUGUAAAGCACUUUCAGUGGCGAAGAAAAAGUCGGCGUUAAUAGCGCCGACCCUUGACGUUAACCACAGAAGAAGCACCGGCCAACUCCGUGCCAGCAGCCGCGGUAAUACGGAGGGUGCGAACGUUAAUCGGAAUUACUGGGCGUAAAGUGCGCGUAGGCGGCUUGUUAAGUGGGAUGUGAAAGCCCCGGGCUCAACCUGGGAACUGCAUUUCAAACUGGCAAGCUAGAGUUCAGUAGAGGGAGGUGGAAUUUCCUGUGUAGCGGUGAAAUGCGUAGAUAUAGGAAGGAACACCAGUGGCGAAGGCGGCCUCCUGGACUGAAACUGACGCUCAAACGCGAAAGCGUGGGGAGCAAACAGGAUUAGAUACCCUGGUAGUCCACGCCGUAAACGAUGAGAACUAGCCGUUUGGCCCCUUGAGGGCUUAGUGGCGCAGCUAACGCGAUAAGUUCUCCGCCUGGGGAGUACGGCCGCAAGGUUAAAACUCAAAUGAAUUGACGGGGGCCCGCACAAGCGGUGGAGCAUGUUGUUUAAUUCGAGGCAACGCGAAAAACCUUACCACCACUUGACAUCCACGGAACUUUCCAGAGAUGGAUAGGUGCCUUCGGGAACCGUGUGACAGGUGCUGCAUGGCUGUCGUCAGCUCGUGUCGUGAGAUGUUGGGUUAAGUCCCGUAACGAGCGCAACCCUUAUCCUUAUUUGCCAGCGGGUCAUGCCGGGAACUCUAAGGAGACUGCCGGUGACAAACCGGAGGAAGGCGGGGACGAGGUCAAGUCAUCAUGGCCCUUAUCGUGGUGGGCUACAAACGUGCUACAAUGGACGGCACAAAGGGCUGCAAUCCCGCGAGGGGGAGCGAAUCCCAAAAAUCCGUUCGUAGUCCGGAUAGGAGUCUGCAACUCGACUCCUUGAAGUCGGAAUCGCUAGUAAUCGCGAAUCAGAAUGUCGCGGUGAAUACGUUCCCGGGCCUUGUACACACCGCCCGUCAAGUCAUGGGAGUGGGUUGCACCAGAAGUAGCUAGUCUAACCUCUCACGAGGGGGACGGUUACCACGGUGUGGUCCAUGACUGA